GCGGGGUCCCGCUCGUCAGAACUAUCCCUAACCUCCGGCUAUGCCUCUCCCGUAGCCCCGCCGCGCGGCCCUCGCCACCGUCGCCGCGCGAUGAGAGCCCGCGCCCUUCCGCGUCGCGUCGCGCAGAACUACAGCAGACCUACUCCUCGCUCGCGUCGCAUCGAUCUAGCAUCCUGCGCCGCUGCCCCCGCUUCGUCCCAUCGCCGCUCCGCGCUUGAGCCCUCUGCUGGACCUACCAGCACCGGCCGGGUAUGGAUGCCUUCGUCUCACCCUCCUGCGUGAUCUGGAGGCCUGCACGCGCGCAAGGUGUCCCCAUAGGCCCAGCUCCCGAAAUCGAGCACCUGGCGAACGCGGAACUCCCUCCCCGUGGCAGAGGUUAAGCACCGCAAUGAGUUCGCAUCACUUCCACCUACCACCUUCCCAACUUCUAUUCACUCUCUGGAGCCCCGGAGGCGAGCUCGGAAUCGAGCCCGCGCGGGGCCGCCAUGUCGCACGCCGGCGAUUUCCCUGAACGCUUCCCGCAGUGGAGCUCGUGAUUGAUGUCGUCUUCCCCACCUCCUGCAAGAACUGCCGCCGUGGCGUCACACGUGCCCAGAUAAAAAAAACCGUACACCUUUGGCUUUGUCAUGUCCCGGCUGGACUGAGUGACCUCUCAUGGGUCCGCUUGCCUCUCGAUACAAUAGUGAAACAUAAUUUCAGAUGGAAGCGGAAGCUGCUGUGCUCAGUAGAUGCCACCAUGGAAACUGCUCCGGGACCUCCACGGUCUGAUAGACUGAUACAGCGCUGCCGUGCAUCGUCCAAGCAAGAUCAUACCUCAGUUCCGGCCCCGAGGCCAUCCAUUAAUUCUUACUCCCUCCGUCCCAUAUUAACUGACGAAAUAUUACAUGUAUCUAGACGCCUUUUGGAUAUAGAUACAUCCAUAUUUGGGCAAAUUUGAGUCACUUAAUAUGGGACGGAGGAAGUAUACCAUACGUCCUAUAUUUACAAGGCUAACUCUUUUGCCCAAUAAAUGAUGACAACAACAUAUUAUCGUCCUAUAUUUACAAGGCUAACUCUUUUGCCCAAUAAAUGAUGACAACAACAUAUUAUCUGACAGCAACAGAAAGCCAAGAGCCCAAGAUGAAGGUGUAUCAUGGUCGUGUCUAAUGUCUAUGAUUGCAAUCUUCUGGGGACAAGAAGUGAGGCCGCCGGAGCAGUUCCCUUGGUCGUUUCUGAUAGUGUUUGAUUUAGCUGUCUGUUGCUUGUUCAUAGUUUAGUUCAGGUUGUGCUGUCUUUUAUCUUUCUGGAAUAAUUCUCCUCUUUAUGAGGCCUUUGUCUCUUUUUCCCCUUAAUUAAUGAAAUACAGCGCUGCUGUUUUCGUCAAAAAAAAAUAAUGUCUAUGAAUACAUAUGUAAUCACAUUGACCAUAUUCUUGACAAUUUCCUUA